rnacentral:rRNA from 1 species
GGUUAACGAGGCGAACCGGGGGAACUGAAACAUCUAAGUACCCCGAGGAAAAGAAAUCAACCGAGAUUCCCCCAGUAGCGGCGAGCGAACGGGGAGCAGCCCGGAGUCUGAAUCAGCUUGUGUGUUAGUGGAACGGUCUGGAAAGUCCGACGGUACAGGGUGAUAGUCCCGUACACGAAAGCACACUUGCUGUGAACUCGAAGAGUAGGGCGGGACACGUGGUAUCCUGUCUGAAUAUGGGGGGACCAUCCUCCAAGGCUAAAUACUCCUGACUGACCGAUAGUGAACCAGUACCGUGAGGGAAAGGCGAAAAGAACCCCGGCGAGGGGAGUGAAAAAGAACCUGAAACCGUGUACGUACAAGCAGUGGGAGCCUCUUUAUGGGGUGACUGCGUACCUUUUGUAUAAUGGGUCAGCGACUUAUAUUCUGUAGCAAGGUUAACCGUAUAGGGGAGCCGAAGGGAAACCGAGUCUUAACUGGGCGUUAAGUUGCAGGGUAUAGACCCGAAACCCGGUGAUCUAGCCAUGGGCAGGUUGAAGGUUGGGUAACACUAACUGGAGGACCGAACCGACUAAUGUUGAAAAAUUAGCGGAUGACCUGUGGCUGGGGGUGAAAGGCCAAUCAAACCGGGAGAUAGCUGGUUCUCCCCGAAAGCUAUUUAGGUAGCGCCUCGUGAACUCAUCUUCGGGGGUAGAGCACUGUUUCGGCUAGGGGGCCAUCCCGGCUUACCAACCCGAUGCAAACUACGAAUACCGAAGAAUGUUAUCACGGGAGACACACGGCGGGUGCUAACGUCCGUCGUGAAGAGGGAAACAACCCAGACCGCCAGCUAAGGUCCCAAAGUCAUGGUUAAGUGGGAAACGAUGUGGGAAGGCACAGACAGCCAGGAUGUUGGCUUAGAAGCAGCCAUCAUUUAAAGAAAGCGUAAUAGCUCACUGGUCGAGUCGGCCUGCGCGGAAGAUGUAACGGGGCUAAACCAUGCACCGAAGCUGCGGCAGCGACACUAUGUGUUGUUGGGUAGGGGAGCGUUCUGUAAGCCGUUGAAGGUGUGCUGUGAGGCAUGCUGGAGGUAUCAGAAGUGCGAAUGCUGACAUAAGUAACGAUAAAGCGGGUGAAAAGCCCGCUCGCCGGAAGACCAAGGGUUCCUGUCCAACGUUAAUCGGGGCAGGGUGAGUCGACCCCUAAGGCGAGGCCGAAAGGCGUAGUCGAUGGGAAACAGGUUAAUAUUCCUGUACUUGGUGUUACUGCGAAGGGGGGACGGAGAAGGCUAUGUCAGCCGGGCGACGGUUGUCCCGGUUUAAGCAUGUAGGCGGAGGU